ACCGUUAGGGUUAGCUGGUCUUGA
rnacentral:siRNA from 1 species